AACGAACGCUGGCGGCAUGCCUAACACAUGCAAGUCGAACGAGACCUUCGGGUCUAGUGGCGCACGGGUGCGUAACGCGUGGGAACCUGCCCUUAGGUUCGGAAUAACUCAGAGAAAUUUGAGCUAAUACCGGAUAAUGUCUUCGGACCAAAGAUUUAUCGCCUUUGGAUGGGCCCGCGUAGGAUUAGCUUGUUGGUGGGGUAAUGGCCUACCAAGGCGACGAUCCUUAGCUGGUCUGAGAGGAUGAUCAGCCACACUGGGACUGAGACACGGCCCAGACUCCUACGGGAGGCAGCAGUGGGGAAUAUUGGACAAUGGGCGAAAGCCUGAUCCAGCAAUGCCGCGUGAGGGAUGAAGGCCUUAGGGUUGUAAAGCUCUUUUACCAGGGAUGAUAAUGACAGUACCUGGAGAAUAAGCUCCGGCUAACCCCGU
rnacentral:rRNA from 1 species